GAUGAACGCUAGCUACAGGCUUAACACAUGCAAGUCGAGGGGUAACGAGAGGAAAGCUUGCUUUCCUUGUCGACGACCGGCGCACGGGUGAGUAACGCGUAUCCAACCUGCCCCCAACUAGGGAAUAACCUUGCGAAAGUAAGACUAAUACCCUAUAAUUUCCUCAGAUGACAUCUGACGAGGAAUAAAGAUUUAUCGGUUGUGGAUGGGGAUGCGUCUGAUUAGCUUGUUGGCGGGGUACCGGCCCACCAAGGCAACGAUCAGUAGGGGUUCUGAGAGGAAGGUCCCCCACAUUGGAACUGAGACACGGUCCAAACUCCUACGGGAGGCAGCAGUGAGGAAUAUUGGUCAAUGGGCGGAAGCCUGAACCAGCCAAGUAGCGUGCAGGAUGACGGCCCUAUGGGUCGUAAACUGCUUUUAUACAGGAAUAAAGUUAGCCACGUGUGGUUAUUUGUAGGUACUGUAUGAAUAAGGACCGGCUAAUUCCGUGCCAGCCGCCGCCGUAA
rnacentral:rRNA from 1 species